GGAAGUAAAAGUCGUAACAAGGUCUCCGUUGGUGAACCAGCGGAGGGAUCAUUACCGAGUUUACAACUCCCAAACCCAAUGUGAACGUUACCAAACUGUUGCCUCGGCGGGAACUCAUGCCCCGGGUGCGUCGCAGCCCCGGACCAAGGCGCCCGCCGGAGGACCAACCAAAACUCUUUUUGUAUACCCCCUCGCGGGUUUUUUAUAAUCUGAGCCUUCUCGGCGCCUCUCGUAGGCGUUUCGAAAAUGAAUCAAAACUUUCAACAACGGAUCUCUUGGUUCUGGCAUCGAUGAAGAACGCAGCGAAAUGCGAUAAGUAAUGUGAAUUGCAGAAUUCAGUGAAUCAUCGAAUCUUUGAACGCACAUUGCGCCCGCCAGUAUUCUGGCGGGCAUGCCUGUCCGAGCGUCAUUUCAACCCUCGAACCCCUCCGGGGGGUCGGCGUUGGGGAUCGGCCUUCCUUCACGGGGGCCGUCUCCGAAAUACAGUGGCGGUCUCGCCGCAGCCUCUCCUGCGCAGUAGUUUGCACACUCGCAUCGGGAGCGCGGCGCGUCCACAGCCGUUAAACACCCAACUUCUGAAAUGUUGACCUCGGAUCAGGUAGGAAUACCCGCUGAACUUAAGCAUAUCAAUAAGCGGAGGA
rnacentral:rRNA from 1 species